rnacentral:rRNA from 1 species
AGAGUUUGAUCCUGGCUCAGGAUGAACGCUGGCAGUGUGCCUUAGACAUGCAAGUCGGACGGGGCGCUUCUCUUUGAUCCUUUCGGGGUGAUUUGGGUUGUUGCCUAGUGGCGUACGGGUGAGUAACACGUGGGUGACCUGCCCUUAAGUGGGGGAUAACUCUGGGAAACUGGGGCUAAUCCCGCAUGUGCUGCGGUCUUCGUUGGUCGUAGUAAAGGAGCCUUUUGGUUUCGCUUGGGGAUGGGCUCGCGUCCUAUCAGCUUGUUGGUGUGGUAAUGGCGCACCAAGGCUUUGACAGGUAGCCGGCCUGAGAGGGUGUUCGGCCACAGGGGCACUGAGAUACGGGCCCCACUCCUACGGGAGGCAGCAGUUAGGAAUUUUCGACAAUGGGGGGAACCCUGAUCGAGCGACACUGCGUGAGGGAUGAAGGCCUUAGGGUUGUAAACUUCUAAUAGAGGGACGAUGGUGACGGUACCUCUUGAUUAGCACCGGCUAACUCCGUGCCAGCAGCCGCGGU